AUUGAACGCUGGCGGAAUGCUUUACACAUGCAAGUCGAGCGGCAGCACGGGGGCAACCCUGGUGGCGAGCGGCGAACGGGUGAGUAAUACAUCGGAACAUGCCCAGUCGUGGGGGGAUAACACUUCGAAAGAAGUGCUAAUACCGCAUACGUCCUGAGGGAGAAAGCGGGGGAUCGCAAGACCUCGCGCGAUUGGAGUGGCCGAUGUCAGAUUAGCUAGUUGGUGGGGUAAAGGCCUACCAAGGCAACGAUCUGUAGCUGGUCUGAGAGGAUGAUCAGCCACACUGGGACUGAGACACGGCCCAGACUCCUACGGGAGGCAGCAGUGGGGAAUAUUGGACAAUGGGGGAAACCCUGAUCCAGCCAUGCCGCGUGUGUGAAGAAGGCCUUCGGGUUG
rnacentral:rRNA from 1 species